rnacentral:misc_RNA from 1 species
AACGCACAUUGCGCUCCCUGGUAUUCCGGGGAGCAUGCCUGUUCGAGCGUCAUUACAACCCUCAAGCUCUGCUUGGUGUUGGGCCCCGCCGCCCCGGCGGGCCCUAAAGUCAGUGGCGGUGCCGUCCGGCUCCGAGCGUAGUAAUUUUUCUCGCUUUGGAGGCCCGGGCGCGUGCUCGCCAUCAACCCCCAAUUUUUUCAGGUUGACCUCGGAUCAGGUAGGGAUACCCGCUGAACUUAA